rnacentral:rRNA from 1 species
CGCAGUUAACACAAUAAGUAUUCCGCCUGGGGAGUACGGUCGCAAGAUUAAAACUCAAAGGAAUUGACGGGGGCCCGCACAAGCAGCGGAGCAUGUGGUUUAAUUCGAAGCAACGCGAAGAACCUUACCCAGACUUGACAUCUCCUGAAUUAAUCGUAAUGGAUGAAAUCCCUUCGGGGACAGGAAGACAGGUGGUGCAUGGUUGUCGUCAGCUCGUGUCGUGAGAUGUUGGGUUAAGUCCCGCAACGAGCGCAACCCUUAUCAUUAGUUGCUAACAUUAAGUUGAGCACUCUAGUGAGACUGCCCGGGUUAACCGGGAGGAAGGUGGGGAUGACGUCAAAUCAUCAUGCCCCUUAUGUCUGGGGCUACACACGUGCUACAAUGGUGGGAACAAAGAGAUGCAAGACCGCAAGGUGGAGCCAAACUCAAAAACCCAUCCCAGUUCGGAUUGUAGGCUGAAACUCGUCUACAUGAAGCUGGAGUUGCUAGUAACCGCGAAUCAGAAUGUCGCGGUGAAUACGUUCCCGGGCCUUGUACACACCGCCCGUCACACCAUGAGAGUCGGCAACACCCGAAGCCCGUGAGGUAACCUUUUGGAACCAGCGGUCGAAGAUGGGGUUGAUAAUUGGGGUGAAGUCGUAACAAGGUAGCCGUAGGAGAACCUGCGGCUGGAU